rnacentral:rRNA from 1 species
CCUACGGGGGGCAGCAGUGGGGAAUAUUGGACAAUGGGGGCAACCCUGAUCCAGCCAUGCCGCGUGUGUGAAGAAGGCCCUCGGGUUGUAAAGCACUUUCAGUGAGGAAGAACGCCUGGUGGUUAAUACCCAUCAGGAAAGACAUCACUCACAGAAGAAGCACCGGCUAACUCCGUGCCAGCAGCCGCGGUAAUACGGAGGGUGCGAGCGUUAAUCGGAAUUACUGGGCGUAAAGCGCGCGUAGGUGGCUCGAUAAGCCGGUUGUGAAAGCCCCGGGCUCAACCUGGGAACGGCAUCCGGAACUGUCAAGCUAGAGUGCAGGAGAGGAAGGUAGAAUUCCCGGUGUAGCGGUGAAAUGCGUAGAGAUCGGGAGGAAUACCAGUGGCGAAGGCGGCCUUCUGGACUGACACUGACACUGAGGUGCGAAAGCGUGGGUAGCAAACAGGAUUAGAUACCCGAGUAGUC